rnacentral:lncRNA from 1 species
CGGCAAGAUGUUGUAGGCCUCUUCUCCCAGGAGGCUUAGUGGGAAGUGGGAACACUAGAAGCCUUCUCCCUUUCCUACUCUUUGGCUCUGCAUCUUGGUUCUGAGAGGUCCCUCCAAGGCAUCCAUCUGCUCCUGGCAAACACCAUUCCAACACCUGUGAUCCAGAUGUACACAGCUGCAUGGAAGGUGUUGUUUCUGAUCCAGCCUUAAUGCGAACCAUGCUUAAGAAUGGUUACAAAUGGCUCCAUAAAAAAGACAAAAUGCAUAGCACAGGCUGGGAAUUCACAGUAAAAAGAAAGCCUUGAGGUUGAUAAAGCCUACCACCAAGUCAGGUUGCUGAAACAAACUUGUAACUGCAAGAAGCAGGAUCAAAAGAAACUGCUGAGAAGAGCAUGAUUUUUGUUUUCUUUUGGGACCCACCAUGAGUUGGAUGGCAGCUCAGGGGCAUCGGGGGACUUUGAUCUGGAGAUGCAUUAGUGAGCUUGAACGCUAGAACUCGUCUCUCCUGAGGAUGUUCCUGACUGUUCCCGUGCAUCUGGAGGCGCUACUGCUGGUGGAGUUCUACUAGAUGGAGGUCUGCAAAUGAGCAGGCUGUUGACCAAUGGGUUUAUUCCUUAUUUUUACAUUUUUUUUUGUCCGAUGUAUGCACAAGAACUACCAGAUGGAUCUAUCACAUCUCCUGGAACUUCACAGUUUUGAUUUGGUAGCACUAACAUGACUGCCGACAAUCUUAUUUAAGGUCAUAGAAGUGAAGUCACUGCACAGCUACUGGGAGGAGCAGUUUAUUUAGAAGACAAGCAACCUUACGAGCUGCUUGUCAUAAACGAGAUAUAGUUGUUGCUGCAAAAUGGUGAAAAAGCUGCUUCCUCUUGGUCUCUCCUGUGAUGCUCCUCUGUCAGACAAGAUGGUAAUCUGCAUAAAUCAAAAUUUAUAUAGCCUUUCAAACUUCAAAGCAGGUGAUGUUUCAUCUUACUAUGCCAAGGAUGGAAUCGUUUGGAACCAGAACCUGUCUCCGCGCACAGAAGGACGCCAAUGAACUCUCUCCUUCGUAACAGGUGAUAAAUGAUUUUAGUAUUUAAGCAAGGUGUCUGCCUUCACCUGGAAAAUCAGAAUUGGCAAAGUUACUUAAAGAAAUUUGCUUAUAUAGAGAUGUCAG